ACGUGGCGGACGUCAAGAAGA
rnacentral:misc_RNA from 1 species